UGUAGAGCAUUGUGUAUUUGUUGGGUGUGUGCGCAGGCAUCUUCCCAGCCUACAUGUGGAUUCAUGAAUCUGCAGGCUGGUUAGAUGGUUGUCAUGCAUUCAGUUAUUAUCUGC
ensembl:miRNA mir456 microRNA 456